GUUUUCUUAUGUUGAGCGAUGAUGAGGCAGAAAGAAGAGUAAGAGAAGCUGAGAGGCGCGUUCAGAGCCGCGCGCAGGGCGAGUUUGACUGCGAGGCGUUAUGAGCGGCUACGCCGCGAGACUCCCGCCCUUCACGAAGUAGAGCCAAUCAGCGUGCUGGCUACGCCGCGAGCGGGAACCCACCCCCCUCUUUGUGCCCGAAUUCGGACGUUUUUUGCGUUUUUGAGCCAAAAACGCCACGAACUGUUGAUUUUAUCAGAUUUUAUAGAGAUUUUAAACGUUUUUCACUGCAGUUUGACCUUCAGUUUCAAACACCGAGGCUCCAGAGCGCAGCGCCGCCGAGCGGCUGACGGGCCUUCGCUGCAGCUUCGAAGCUAAAAGCUAAAGCUCGCGGUUUUCUCCUCAGAGCUGCGCACCUGAGCCGCUGAGACAGUGGCUCUACUUCGAGAGCCAUGGCGUCUGAAGAUAUUACAGGCAACAGACACGACAGCUGAUUGUCAACUUCAAUCAAGUACGUUAAGAUUUCCUACCUGGAGGUGAGGGUGUGUUUUAUAGGACUCCGCCGCCGCCAACGCUGCCUCCGCCGCCGGCGCACAUGCUGAGCUGAUGAGGUUUUCUCGUUCCUGAGUGUCCAAAUUUUGUCCAUGGAAGCGUCCACAGCCCUGUCCUUUCAAAGAGAGCUUCGGCAAGUGUCCAGAGAACUGUUAAAGUUGCACUGUGUAAGAUCUGAGGACGUCUCUGGUGGACGUGUGUAACUGCAUGCAGUGUACAGAACAUCUUUCUGCAGCGCAUGUGGUGCUUCAGACCCCCAAAGGCAGAUUCAUCUGACUACUGGAAGAGAAUUCGGAGGGAAGUCGAAGACUAAACCGGGUGAAGCAGCGUCUCUGAGGAUUUUUUAGGCGUAAAGGCUCGGUAUAAACCGCUGCGUAAAGGCGUCGUACCUGCGUGCGAGCGUGGAGGACCCGAUGUUGUCGGGGCUGCGGAUGGUCUUGCUGAGGGCGCUGUGGAUCUGGGCGAAGCUGGG